GCGGAGCUACCAUGCAGUCGACGGUAACAGGAAGCAGCUUGCUGUUUCGCUGACGAGUGGCGGACGGGUGAGUAAUGUCUGGGAAACUGCCUGAUGGAGGGGGAUAACUACUGGAAACGGUAGCUAAUACCGCAUAACGUCGCAAGACCAAAGAGGGGGACCUUCGGGCCUCUUGCCAUCGGAUGUGCCCAGAUGGGAUUAGCUUGUUGGUGGGGUAACGGCUCACCUAGGCGACGAUCCCUAGCUGGUCUGAGAGGAUGACCAGCCACACUGGAACUGAGACACGGUCCAGACUCCUACGGGAGGCAGCAGUGGGGAAUAUUGCACAAUGGGCGCAAGCCUGAUGCAGCCAUGCCGCGUGUAUGAAGAAGGCCUUCGGGUUGUAAAGUACUUUCAGCGGGGAGGAAGGGAGUAAAGUUAAUACCUUUGCUCAUUGACGUUACCCGCAGAAGAAGCACCGGCUAACUCCGUGCCAGCCGCCGCGGUAAUUCGUCGUGACUGGGAAACCCCCUGGCGA
rnacentral:rRNA from 1 species